AAAGACUUGCUAAAAAAAAGCAAGAUUUGUUUGCUCUGACUAGCUAAAACAAAAAGACAAUUUUCAAGGUCUUUUUUUCUCCCAGCUUGUAUAUGCAGAGAUUGGCCAAGCUACAACAUAUAAUAGAAACCUCUGAUUUCCAGUGGCUAGAGAAUUUUGACUUUUUGAUUCUUAUCGUAAAAUAAGGGGACCCAUUUCUUAUAGGGACCAGCUUUUUAGUUUUAUGGGGUACCUUUUGAGAGAGUUGAAGAGCCCUCUUUUUUGAGAGGUUUGCCUUUUUCAGGAGUCAAAAUGUGUGAUUUAUGUCACUAAACAUGCGGUACACAUAAUUUAAUCCAGAUCUGAAGCUGUAUCUGGGAUUUAGCUUCCACGUAACCCAGAGUCCUAAAUUCCAGAAAAUCCGACGUUGUAUAUGAACAGGAAUGUCUCCUGCAAUGCUCCUUGAUAUUCAAGGGGAAGUACCUUUCACAGCAUCAUAGCAGCCUUGGAAUUUUUCUUCAGUCAGCUUGUGUGCUGGCCUGAACAUCUCCUGCAUGGUGAGAGGCCGUACAUGUGGGACGCUGAUGAGCUGCAGCGGAUCAAUGGACUCGUCUGUGCGGAAGGAGAUCCGGGUGCCUCUGCAAAACUCCCUCUCUGCUGGAGGCAAAUGAAUGGGAUGAAGCCAGACUGACUCGGGAGUCAGUUCAUCGUGUGGUCUGGAGCGUUUCUUGGAUGCUCCAGAAUUAUGGACAAAGCAUAAUUCUACGUUAUCAGUGUGAGAAGGAGUUAAACGCACAGUUUCUCUACAGCAGUGUGGUGUAAGAGUCUGGCAGCUCCAUCCCCUUCUCUGCUUCCUGAACCACCAACCACCACCAGACUUUUCAGAAAAGUAUAGUCAUUUCAGGAAAUUACUUACCUGUGUCCUCUAUCCUGGACUAAUUAUAUUUUUUCAGAAGGAAGAACCAAAAAGACACAAGACUUAAAAAUUUCUUUGCAUGAAUAACUACUGUGUGUAUGUGAUUGAAAAUAAAAGCAAGUCUUUAAAAUCAUAGAAUCCUAGUGUGGACUGCUUCAUGCACUUUCACCUCUCAAGCCCUGCUUUUCAAGAGCACUAUCAAAUGCAGUGCAGUCAUGUUGGGCAAUUGCUCUCUGGACGACAGUGAAGCAAAUAAAAAAUACUUUGCCUUGCAA